rnacentral:rRNA from 1 species
GAACGCUAGCUACAGGCUUAACACAUGCAAGUCGAGGGGCAGCAUGGUCUUAGCUUGCUAAGGCCGAUGGCGACCGGCGCACGGGUGAGUAACACGUAUCCAACCUGCCGUCUACUCUUGGACAGCCUUCUGAAAGGAAGAUUAAUACAAGAUGGCAUCAUGAGUCCGCAUGUUCACAUGAUUAAAGGUAUUCCGGUAGACGAUGGGGAUGCGUUCCAUUAGAUAGUAGGCGGGGUAACGGCCCACCUAGUCUUCGAUGGAUAGGGGUUCUGAGAGGAAGGUCCCCCACAUUGGAACUGAGACACGGUCCAAACUCCUACGGGAGGCAGCAGUGAGGAAUAUUGGUCAAUGGGCGCAGGCCUGAACCACCCAAGUAGCGUGAAGGAUGACUGCCCUAUGGGUUGUAAACUUCCUUUAUAACGGAAUAAAGUCGGGUAUGGAUACCCGUUUGUAUGUCCUUUUAUGAAUAAGGAUCGGCUAAUUUUCGUGCCAGCAGCCGCGGUAAUACGGAGGAUCCGAGCGUUAUCCGGAUUUAUUGGGUUUAAACGGAGCGUAGAUGGAUGUUUAAGUCAGUUGUGAAAGUUUGCAGCUCAACCGUAAAAUUGCAGUUGAUACUGGAUAUCUUGAGUGCAGUUGAGGCAGGCGGAAUUCGUGGUGUAGCGGUGAAAUGCUUAGAUAUCACGAAGAACUCCGAUUGCGAAGGCAGCCUGCUAAGCUGCAACUGACAUUGAGGCUCGAAAGUGUGGGUAUCAAACAGGAUUAGAUACCCUGGUAGUCCACACGGUAAACGAUGAAUACUCGCUGUUUGCGAUAUACAGCAAGCGGCCAAGCGAAAGCGUUAAGUAUUCCACCUGGGGAGUACGCCGGCAACGGUGAAACUCAAAGGAAUUGACGGGGGCCCGCACAAGCGGAGGAACAUGUGGUUUAAUUCGAUGAUACGCGAGGAACCUUACCCGGGCUUAAAUUGCAGAUGAAUUACGGUGAAAGCCGUAAGCCGCAAGGCAUCUGUGAAGGUGCUGCAUGGUUGUCGUCAGCUCGUGCCGUGAGGUGUCGGCUUAAGUGCCAUAACGAGCGCAACCCUUGUUGUCAGUUACUAACAGGUUCCGCUGAGGACUCUGACAAGACUGCCAUCGUAAGAUGUGAGGAAGGUGGGGAUGACGUCAAAUCAGCACGGCCCUUACGUCCGGGGCUACACACGUGUUACAAUGGGGGGUACAGAGGGCCGCUACCACGCGAGUGGAUGCCAAUCCCAAAAACCUCUCUCAGUUCGGACUGGAGUCUGCAACCCGACUCCACGAAGCUGGAUUCGCUAGUAAUCGCGCAUCAGCCACGGCGCGGUGAAUACGUUCCCGGGCCUUGUACACACCGCCCGUCAAGCCAUGGGAGCCGGGGGUACCUGAAGUGCGUAACCGCGAGGAGCGCCCUAGGGUAAAACUGGUGACUG